rnacentral:rRNA from 1 species
GUCUGUGGCUAUACCACCCUAAAGGUGCCUGAUCUCAUCUGUUCUUAGCUAAGCAGGGUUGUGCCUAAUUAGUACUUGGAUGAGAAAAACUAUAAAGUUUUAAACA